rnacentral:rRNA from 1 species
AAUAGAUACCCAGGUAGUCCACGCCGUAAACGUUGGGCACUAGGUGUGGGGGGCAUUCCACGUCCUCCGCGCCGCAGCUAACGCAUUAAGUGCCCCGCCUGGGGAGUACAGCCGCAAGGCUAAAACUCAAAGGAAUUGACGGGGGCCCGCACAAGCGGCGGAGCAUGCGGAUUAAUUCGAUGCAACGCGAAGAACCUUACCAAGGCUUGACAUGGGCCGGACCGGGCUGGAGACAGUCCUUCCCUUCGGGGCCGGUUCACAGGUGGUGCAUGGUUGUCGUCAGCUCGUGUCGUGAGAUGUUGGGUUAAGUCCCGCAACGAGCGCAACCCUCGUUCCAUGUUGCCAGCACUUCGGGUGGGGACUCAUGGGAGACUGCCGGGGUCAACUCGGAGGAAGGUGGGGACGACGUCAAAUCAUCAUGCCCCCUUAUGCCUUGGGCUUCACGCAUGCUACAAUGGCCGGUACAAAGGGUUGCGAUGCUGUGAGGUUGAGCCAAUCCCAGAAAGCCGGUCUCAGUUCGGAUUGGGGUCUGCACUCGACCCCG